GGCUCCGGCGCUAUCAGCCUGAAGGCGCCCGAUCUCGUCUGAUCUCGGAAGCUAAGCAGGGUCGGGCCUGGUUAGGAUCUUGGAUGGGAGACCACCUGGGAAUCCCGGGUGCUCGAGGCU
rnacentral:rRNA from 1 species